rnacentral:rRNA from 1 species
AUGUCAGUUUCGUUAUUACAACCUUAUUUUUUUAUGUCAAAGACAAAAAGCUACGCGCAAAUUCUCAUUGGAUCUCGGUUGUUCUUAACAGCGAUGGCUAUUCAUUUAAGUCUUCGGGUAGCACCACCAGAUCUUCAACAAGGUGGAAAUUCUCGUAUUUCGUAUGUACAUGUUCCUGCGGCUCAGAUGAGUAUAGUUAUUUAUAUCGCGACAGCUAUAAACAGUUCCUUGUUCCCAUUAACAAAACAUCCCCUUUUUCUUCGCUCUUCCGGAACCGGUACAGAAAUUGGUGCUUUUUCUACUUUGUUUACGUUAGUGACUGGGGGGUUUCGGGGAAGGCCUAUGUGGGGUACCAUUCGGGUGUGGGAUGCUCGUUUAACUUCUGUAUUCAUCUUGUUCCUUAUUUACCUGGGUGCACUGCGUUUUCAAAAGCUUCCUGUCGAACCGGCUCCUAUUUCAAUCCGUGCUGGACCGAUCGAUAUACCAAUAAUAAAGUCUCCAGUCAACUGGUGGAAUACAUCGCAUCAACCUGGGAGCAUUAGCCGAUCUGGUACAUCAAUACAUGUUCCUAUGCCCAUUCCAAUCUUGUCUAACUUUGCUAACUUCCCCUUCUCUACCCGUAUCUUGUUCGUUCUGGAAACACGUCUUCCUAUUCCAUCUUUUCCCGAAUCUCCCUUAACGGAAGAAAUAGAAGCUCGAGAAGGAAUACCACUAAAAACCUAG